rnacentral:rRNA from 1 species
UACGGGGGGGGCAAGCGUUGUUCGGAAUUACUGGGCGUAAAGGGCUCGUAGGCGGCCAACUAAGUCAUGCGUGAAAUCCCUCGGCUUAACCGGGGAGCUGCGUCUGAUACUGGAUGGCUUGAGUUUGGGAGAGGGAUGCGGAAUUCCAGGUGUAGCGGUGAAAUGCGUAGAUAUCUGGAGGAACACCGGUGGCGAAGGCGGCAUCCUGGACCAAUACUGACACUGAGGAGCGAAAGCCAGGGGAGCAAACGGG